AGAGUUGAUUAUGGCUCAGAACGAACGCUGGUGGCGUGCUUAUACAUGCAAGUCGAGCGAGGCAGCAAUGCCGAGCGGCGAACGGGUGAGUAACGCGUAAGCAAUCUGCCCCAUAUCAGGAAAUACCCGUGCCAACGCGCGGUUAAUGUCCAGGAGAGUGGCCCCCUGCAUGGGGGGUUGACUAGAGAUUUAUCGGUAUGGGAUGAGCUUGCGUCCGAUUAGCUAGUGGCGGGGCAACGGCCCACCAAGGCGACGAUCGGUAGCCGGCCUGAGAGGGUGAUCGGCCACAUUGGGACUGAGAUACGACCCAGACUCCUACGGGAGGCAGCAGUAGGGAAUAUUGCACAAUGGGGGAAACCCUGAUGCAGCAACGCCACGUGUGGGAAGAAGCAUUUCGGUGUGUAAACCACUGUCAUGAGGGAAUAAGGCCUUAUCCCGUAAGGACCUUGAUGUACCUUGAGAGGAAGCACCGGCAAACUUCGUGCCAGCCGCUGC
rnacentral:rRNA from 1 species